rnacentral:rRNA from 1 species
UACAGAGGGUGCGAGCGUUGUCCGGAAUCACUGGGCGUAAAGGGCGCGUAGGUGGCGCUGCAAGUCGGUGGUGAAAGCUCGUCGCUUAACGACGAGUCGGCCAUCGAAACUGCAGGGCUCGAGCACUGUAGGGGCAGGUGGAAUUCCGGGUGUAGCGGUGGAAUGCGUAGAGAUCCGGAAGAACACCAGUGGCGAAGGCGGCCUGCUGGGCAGUUGCUGACACUGAUGCGCGACAGCGUGGGGAGCAAACAGG